UACCAGCACCCCGAGUGGUCGGGACGUUUUAUUGGGCCUAAAGCAUCCGUAGCCGGUUCUACAAGUCUUCCGUUAAAUCCACCUGCUUAACAGAUGGGCUGCGGAAGAUACUAUAGAGCUAGGAGGCAGGGAGAGGCAAGCGGUACUCAUGGGUAGGGGUAAAAUCCGUUGAUCCAUUGAAGACCACCAGUGGCGAAGGCGGCUUGCCAGAACGUGCGCUGACGGUGAGGGAUGAAAGCUGGGGGAGCAAACCGGAUUAG
rnacentral:rRNA from 1 species